rnacentral:rRNA from 1 species
AAUAUUGCACAAUGGAGGGAACUCUGAUGCAGCAACGCCGCGUGAGUGAAGAAGGUUUUCGGAUCGUAAAACUCUGUCAUUGGGGAAGAAUAAAUGACGGUACCCAAUGAGGAAGCCCCGGCUAACUACGUGCCAGCAGCCGCGGUGAUACGUAGAGGGCGAGCGUUGUCCGGAAUUACUGGGCGUAAAGGGUACGUAGGCGGCUAUAUAAGUCAGAUGUGAAAGCCCACGGCUUAACCGUGGGACUGCAUUUGAAACUGGAGGGCUUGAGUGUCGGAGAGGGCAGUGGAAUUCCCAGUGUAGCGGUGAAAUGCGUAGAGAUUAGGAGGAACACCAGUGGCGAAGGCGACUUUCUGGACUGUAACUGACGCUGAGGUACGAAAACGUGGGUAGCGAACA